AUGUGGUUAAUUCGAAGCAACGCGAAGAACUUACCUGGCCUUGACAUGCUGAGAACUUUCCAGAGAUGGAUUGGUGCCUUCGGGAACUCAGACACAGGUGCUGCAUGGCUGUCGUCAGCUCGUGCCGUGAGAUGUUGGGUUAAGUCCCGUAACGAGCGCAACCCUUGUCCUUAGUUACCAGCACGUUAUGGUGGGCACUCUAAGGAGACUGCCGGUGACAAACCGGAGGAAGGUGGGGAUGACGUCAAGUCAUCAUGGCCCUUACGGCCAGGGCUACACACGUGACUACAAUGGGGGGUACAGAGGGUUGCCAAGCCGCGAGGUGGAGCUAAUCCCAUAAAACCUCUCGUAGUCCGGAUUGGAGUCUGCAACUCGACUGCGUGAAGUCGGAAUCGCUAGUAAUCGUGAAUCAGAAUGUCACGGUGAAUACGUUCCCGGGCCUU
rnacentral:rRNA from 1 species